UGGGGGCCAAAAUUAUCCUCCCCCCCCCCCUUAUAAAACACUCGGUUGAGGGCCUGUUGCCCCCUGCGGUCACUAACUUGUCCAACAACUCAAACUCUAUAGGGUCUGGGAAAUGCAAUCCACUGCCUGGGAAAUGUUUAAAAUCUAAUAAGGUAUUUAUUAAACCAGUGCUGGAAAAUGUCCGGCAGCGCCAGCAGCACCGCUGCCAGGAAAUUUUUACCAAAAU